GGAAGGAUCAUUAAAGGAAAAAAAAAAACACAUACAGGGGCAAAGGUUAGUUUAGGGGACCCUUCCUCUUUUCUUUCCCGAGCUCUUGCUAUAUAAAAAAAAACCACUAGAUUUUGUGCCCAAGUGGUUAGCCUUAUAAUAGUUAAGCGGUGUCCCCUUAUACUUUCUUAGGGAUAAGAAAGUACCAGGGAUGACACGGUGCUCUCUUGUACUUUCUUAGGGAUAAGAAAGUACUAGGGGGGGCGCGGUGUUCUCUUUACUUUCUUAGGGCCCAUAAGAAAGUUAGGGAGCGCCUUAUAGUUAUAUAUGGCUAGGGCAGGUUCUUUCAAGGAAGCAGAUGAACUUGGAGAGACGGUUUACAAGAGCUCCUCUGAAAUCCUUUAGGGGGUUAGGGAUAAAAGUAAGGGGAGCUCUAGUUACCCGACCGUUUUCUGCAGCCUUAUAGAACCUACUCCAAAAAGUAAUAUGGUCGUGAACCCACUAAACCACAAUAUAUAAAUAUAAUCUUAUAUAAAAAUCGUACAACUUUUAACGGUGGAUGUCUCGGCUUUCGUAUCGAUGAAGAACGUAGCAAAGUGCGAUAAGUGAUGGAAAUUGCAGAAUACUUCGACUCAUCGAAUUUUUGAAUGCAACCUGCACCCGGGGCUCGUCCUCGGGUCUACCUAUUUGAGCUCGGUUCUUUUAAACAACUCUCUUUUCCCUUAGGGGGUUUAGGGGAUAUUGAGGCGUUAACUUUUAACGAGGUUAUCCCUUUAAAUGUAAUUAAGGAACAACAAGGCUUCUUCUCUAUAAAAAAAUUACCUUAAGCUUAUUUGGUUUCAGAGUAGGGUAAGGAGAUAAAGCUGCGUUGAGAGCGGUCCUUAAAAAUAAACAGAACUAUUCCCUUUAAACAGGGGUAGAAAAAAAAAAAACCAUAAACACCGACUCAAAUUAGGUAGGACUACCCGCUGAAUUUAAGCAUAUUAUUAGGCGGAGGAAAAGAAAUUAACAAAGAUUCCCUCAGUAAUGGCGAAUGAACAGGGAAAAGCUCACGCUGAAUCUGUGGAGAUUAACUUCUUCACCGAAAUGUAGCGUAUCAACUGGUCUUGUCGGAUGAUCUGGCGGCUAAAGUUCCCUGGAAAGGGACACCACAGAGGGUGACAGUCCCGUGAGCUGCUAAAGGUUGUUCGUAUUAGUGGCCAGCUUGUCGAGUCGGGUUGUUUUGGAGUACAACUCUAAUCGGGUGAUAAACUUCAUCCAAAGCUAAAUAUUGACGAAAGACCGAUAGCGAACAAGUACCGUGAGGGAAAGGUGAAAAGAACUUUGAAAAGAGAGUUAAAAGUACCUGAAACCGUUAAAAGGUAAGCGAUCGGCACCAUCGUUUACGUAGUUCAUGAUUCAUCUGUUGAGCUUGUAGGGCUGUGGCUAAGGGAGCCUGUAAAAGGGCCUCUUCUGUUGCAGCCUGAAUGGUUGGGCAGUGCACUUUGUGAGCUUACUUGCAGUCAGGGUCAUCUCUGAUGGGGAUAAUAAGGGCUGUGAGGAGGUACCCAGUCUUUGGCUGGGGAUUUAACUCGCGGAUACCUGUCCUCGUUAGGGAUGAGGGUCUUGAAAGGGAUAACAUUACCGGGGGUAUUCUUGGCUAGGGUCCGGGGGGUGUAAAAGUCUCCCGAUUCGACGCUUGAACUCGGUAUUGACCUUGACUUAGAUGGAAUCGACCGUCCCGUCUUGAAACACGGACCAAGGAGUUUAAAUUGUGCGCGAGCUUUAGAGUGUGAAAACUCAAGGGCAUAAUGAAAGUGAGUAACGCCUGAAGCCUCCUUACGGAGGAACUGCAAGGUGAACCGGCACCACCUUAUUAGAUGGUGUCCGAGUAAGAGUGUACAGUUUAAGACCCGAAAGGUGGCGAACUAUGCUUGUGUAGAGUGAAGCCAGAAGAAAUUCUGGUGGAGGCUCGUAGCGGUAUUGACGUGCAAAUCAUUCGUCAAACAUGGGUAUAGCGGCGAAAGACUAAUCGAGCCGCCUAGUAGCUGGUUCCUCU
rnacentral:misc_RNA from 1 species